UACGUAGGGGGCAAGCGUUGUCCGGAAUUAUUGGGCGUAAAGAGCGUGUAGGCGGUCCGGUAAGUCAGCUGUGAAAGUCAAGGGCUCAACCCUUGAAAGCCGGUUGAUACUGUCGGGCUAGAGUCCGGAAGAGGCGAGUGGAAUUCCCGGUGUAGCGGUGAAAUGCGCAGAUAUCGGGAGGAACACCAAUGGCGAAGGCAGCUCGCUGGGACGGUACUGACGCUGAGACGCGAAAGCCAGGGGAGCAAACGGG
rnacentral:rRNA from 1 species